CGCCUCUUGACAGAUCUAAAAAUAAGAGGUCCCACCUGCCCAGUGACUAUGAGUUUAACGGCCGCGGUAUUUUGACCGUGCAAAGGUAGCACAAUCACUUGUCCUUUAAAUGAGGACCUGUAUGAAUGGUAUUACGAAGGCUAAGCUGUCUCCCCUCUCAAGUCAAUGAAAUUGAUCCCCCCGUGCAGAAGCGGGGAUACAGACAUAAGACGAGAAGACCCUAUGGAGCUUAAGACACCAGAGCAGCCCAUGUUAAACAACCCUAAAUAAAGGCCAAACCAAAUAGAAUCUGCCCAAAUGUCUUUGGUUGGGGCGACCGCGUGGCAUCAAAAACCCCCCGCGUGGAACCGAAACACAAACCGUUUCUGAAACCAAGAGCUACCCCUCAAAAUCCCAGAACAUCUGACCAAAAAUGAUCCGGCAAAGCCGAACAACGAACCCAGUUACCCUAGGGAUAACAGCGCAAUCCCCUUUCAGAGCCCAUAUCGACAAGGGGGUUUACGACCUCGAUGUUGGAUCAGGGCAUCCUAAUGGUGCAGCCGCUAUUAAGGGUUCGUUUGUUCAACGAUUAAAGCCCU
rnacentral:rRNA from 1 species